rnacentral:rRNA from 1 species
CGGCGGACGGGUGAGUAACGCGCAGGUAACCUACCCUGUACACACGGAUAACAUACCGAAAGGUAUGCUAAUACGGGAUAAUAUAUUUGAGAGGCAUCUCUUAAAUAUCAAAGGUGAGCCAGUACAGGAUGGACCCGCGUCUGAUUAGCUAGUUGGUAAGGUAACGGCUUACCAAGGCGACGAUCAGUAGCCGACCUGAGAGGGUGAUCGGCCACAUUGGAACUGAGACACGGUCCAA